rnacentral:rRNA from 1 species
GUCUCUGGCCAUACCUCCCUGAACUCACUCAAUCUCCUCGAAUCUGGAUAGCUAAGUAGUAUCAGGUCUGUGUAGUACUUGGAUGGGAGAGAUCAUACAGGGUGAGAGGAU